rnacentral:rRNA from 1 species
GACGAACGCUGGCGGCGUGCUUAACACAUGCAAGUCGAACGGUAAGGCUCCAGCUUGCUGGGGUACACGAGUGGCGAACGGGUGAGUAACACGUGGGUGACCUGCCCUGCACUUCGGGAUAAGCCUGGGAAACUGGGUCUAAUACCGGAUAGGACCAUGGUGUGGAUACUGUGGUGGAAAGUUUUUUCGGUGUGGGAUGGGCCCGCGGCCUAUCAGCUUGUUGGUGGGGUAAUGGCCUACCAAGGCGGCGACGGGUAGCCGGCCUGAGAGGGUGGACGGCCACAUUGGGACUGAGACACGGCCCAGCCUCCUACGGGAGGCAGCAGUGGGGAAUAUUGCACAAUGGGCGGAAGCCUGAUGCAGCGACGCCGCGUGGGGGAUGACGGCUUUCGGGUUGUAAACUCCUUUCACCAUAGACGAAGGGUUUCUGACGGUAGAUGGAGAAGAAGCACCGGCUAACUACGUG